rnacentral:rRNA from 1 species
ACGCUGGCGGCAGGCCUCAUACAUGCAAGUUGAACGAGAAAGUAUCUUCGGAUGCGAGUACAGUGGCGGACGGGUGAGUAAUACAUAGGAAUCUACCCAAUGGAGGGGGAUAGCUCGAGGAAACUCGAAUUAAUACCGCAUAAUCUCCACGGAGUAAAGAGGGCUUCGGCUCUCGCCAUCGGAUGAGCCUAUGCAAGAUUAGCUUGUUGGUAAGGUAAUGGCUUACCAAGGCUACGAUCUUUAGCUGGUUUGAGAGGACGACCAGCCACAUCGGGACUGAGACACGGCCCGGACUUCUACGGAAGGCAGCAGUAGGGAAUAUUGGACAAUGAGCGAAAGCUUGAUCCAGCCAUGCCGCGUGUGCGAUGAAGACCUUAGGGUUGUAAAGCACUUUAGGUUAUGAGAAAAGAUUUGGUAUUAAUACCACCAAAUUUUGAUGUUAAUUUCAGAAUAAGCACCGGCUAAAUCCGUGCC